UUUGGUGUUAUCGUGUGUGUAUGCCUCAACCUUUCUAGUGAGUAGUGAGUUUACCUUCAAUAAAUUAAAAUGCUGAAAACAAGUGCUUGCUUGAAUAGCUGAUCAUAAAAUGGUAGAAGAUGACUUCGGUUAUAUUCAUCAAUUCAAAAACUGGAAUAAUGGUUGAAAGGGACAAUUCAGAGCAUUCGUAUCCCUGCGCGAGUGAUGAAAUUCGUGAACGUAAACUUUGCCAUUUAGCCAAUUGCCAAUUCAAUGGCGUACUAAUAAUAGGGCGUUACCAAGCAGCUUCUAAGACACGAAAGUCUUUCGGUUCUUGGGUAGUAGGACCGCAAAACUGAAACUUAGGGAAAUUGACGGAAUCGUAAUACCAGGAGUAGAGCGUGCAGCUUAAUUUGGCUCAACACAGUCAAACUCAUCUAGCCCGGACGCGGAAAAGAUUGAUGGAUUAAAGUUGGGCAAGUAAACCUACAUCUAGACACUAAAAUUGGGCAACUCAACAGACUUCACGUUUCAAUACUAUAGUGUUCUUCGUACUAGACGGUUUUAGUUAUCAAUCCAAUGUGUAAGCUUCAGGAUUGUCCACCUUCUGUUCUAAACAUUACGCAAGUAAGCCACACUUCGGCCAUUAAAAUUGAUCAACAUGACCGUUUUAAUGGUUUUUACACUAUAGUGUUCAUCA
rnacentral:ncRNA from 1 species